GUCCCCGACUUCCACCCCAGACCGUCGGAGGGCUCCGCCCAGAGUCUGAUGGAGUCUCACUCUGUCACCCAGGCUGGAGGGCAGUGGUGCGAUCUCGGCUCACUGCAACCUCUGCCUCCCAGGUUCAAGCAAUUCUCCUGCCUCAGCCUCCUGAGUAGCUGGGAUUACCGGCAUGUGCCACCACACCCAGCUGAUUUUUGUAUUUUUAGUAGAGACGGGGUUUCACCAUGUUGGCCAGGCUGGUCUCGAACUCCUGACCUCAAGUGAUCCGCCCGCCUCAGCUUCCCAAAGUGCUGGGAUUAGGGGCAUAAGCCGCCGCGCCGGCCUGGACUUCUGACCUCUAAACAAUCACCUGGCCCUACCCAACACCCCACAGACACACCAUCCAUGUGCGCAACCAUGUGAGUCUGAAAUUACAGCAUUAGAAGUUCA
rnacentral:lncRNA from 1 species